AGUGGCGCACGGGUGCGUAACACGUAUGUAACCUACCUUUGUCAGGGGGAUAGCCUCUCGAAAGAGAGAUUAAGCCCGCAUAACAUUGCGACAUAGCAUUAUGAUGCAAUCAAAUAUUUAUAGGACAAAGAUGGGCAUGCGGAACAUUAGCUAGUUGGUAAGGUAACGGCUUACCAAGGCUACGAUGUUUAGGGGAUCUGAGAGGAUGACCCCCCACACUGGUACUGAGACACGGACCAGACUCCUACGGGAGGCAGCAGUAAGGAAUAUUGGUCAAUGGGCGGAAGCCUGAACCAGCCAUGCCGCGUGCAGGAAGACGGCCCUACGGGUUGUAAACUGCUUUUGUACCGGAAUAAACCCCCGAUCGUGAUCGGGGCUGAAUGUACGGUAAGAAUAAGGAUCGGCUAACUCCGUGCCAGCAGCCGCGGUAAUACGGAGGAUCCGAGCGUUAUCCGGAUUUAUUGGGUUUAAAGGGUGCGUAGGCGGCCAUUUAAGUCAGGGGUGAAAGACGGCAGCUCAACUGUCGCAGUGCCUUUGA
rnacentral:rRNA from 1 species